GGUAAACGCUGGCGGUGUGCCUAAAACAUGCAAGUCGAACGGGACCUUCGGGUCCAGUGGCAGACGGCUGAGUAACGCGUGGGUGACGUACCCGUAGGUGGGGAAUAACUGGCCGAAAGGUUGGCUAAUUCCGCAUACGCCCUGGUCUUCGUGGAACAGGGGAAAGUCGCAAGACGCCGAUGGAGCGGCCCGCGUUCGAUUAGCUAGCUGGUGGGGUAACGGCCUACCAGGGCGACGAUCGAUAGCUGGUCUCAGAGGAUGAUCAGCCAGACUGGGACUGAGACACGGCCCAGACUCCUACGGGAGGCAGCAGUUAGGAAUUUUGGGCAAUGGGCGCAAGCCUGACCCAGCAACGCCGCGUGGGUGACGAAGGCCUUCGGGUUGUAAAGCCCUUUUCUCAGGGAAGAUGAUGACGGUACCUGAGGAAGAAGCACCGGCUAACUACGUGCCAGCCGCCGCCGUAA
rnacentral:rRNA from 1 species